rnacentral:rRNA from 1 species
UACGAAGGGUGCAAGCGUUACUCGGAAUUACUGGGCGUAAAGCGUGCGUAGGUGGUUUGUUAAGUCUGCUGUGAAAGCCCCGGGCUCAACCUGGGAAUGGCAGUGGAUACUGGCAAGCUAGAGUGCGGUAGAGGGGUGUGGAAUUCCCGGUGUAGCGGUGAAAUGCGCAGAUAUCGGGAAGAACACCCGUGGCGAAGGCGGCACUCUGGGACGGUACUGACGCUGAGACGCGAAAGCGUGGGGAGCGAACAGG